rnacentral:rRNA from 1 species
UACGUAGGGUGCGAGCGUUGUCCGGAAUUAUUGGGCGUAAAGGGCUCGUAGGCGGUUUGUCGCGUCGGGAGUGAAAAACGCCGUGCUUAACACGGCGCUUGCUUUCGAUACGGGCAGACUAGAGGUAUUCAGGGGAGAACGGAAUUCCUGGUGUAGCGGUGAAAUGACGCAGAGUAUCAGGAGGAACACCGGGUGGCGAAGGCGGGGUCUCUGGGGCCGAUACUGACGCUGAGGAGCGAAAGCGUGGGGAGCGAACAGG